CCUGGCUGGGGGGCUUGAUGAGCGACAGCGGCUUGGUGGUCCCCACGGGACAGCUUCGGACGGCCAGCUUCUGCGGGAAGACAGGCAGGCAGGCAACUAAAACAGUCGAGCUUCCAGAAACACCCUACGAGUUUUAAAGACAUUUUCAUAUUCCAGCUAAUAAAUAACAACAAACCAGAACCAUCCA